rnacentral:rRNA from 1 species
AACGCUGGCGGCGUGCCUAAUACAUGCAAGUCGAGCGAACAGACGAGGAGCUUGCUCCUCUGACGUUAGCGGCGGACGGGUGAGUAACACGUGGAUAACCUACCUAUAAGACUGGGAUAACUUCGGGAAACCGGAGCUAAUACCGGAUAACAUGUUGAACCGCAUGGUUCAACAGUGAAAGACGGUCUUGCUGUCACUUAUAGAUGGAUCCGCGCCGCAUUAGCUAGUUGGUAAGGUAACGGCUUACCAAGGCAACGAUGCGUAGCCGACCUGAGAGGGUGAUCGGCCACACUGGAACUGAGACACGGUCCAGACUCCUACGGGAGGCAGCAGUAGGGAAUCUUCCGCAAUGGGCGAAAGCCUGACGGAGCAACGCCGCGUGAGUGAAGAAGGUCUUCGGAUCGUAAAACUCUGUUAUUAGGGAAGAACAAAUGUGUAAGUAACUAUGCACGUCUUGACGGUACCUAAUCAGAAAGCCACGGCUAACUACGUGCCAGCAGCCGCGGUAAUACGUAGGUGGCAAGCGUUAUCCGGAAUUAUUGGGCGUAAAGCGCGCGUAGGCGGUUUUUUAAGUCUGAUGUGAAAGCCCACGGCUCAACCGUGGAGGGUCAUUGGAAACUGGAAAACUUGAGUGCAGAAGAGGAAAGUGGAAUUCCAUGUGUAGCGGUGAAAUGCGCAGAGAUAUGGAGGAACACCAGUGGCGAAGGCGACUUUCUGGUCUGUAACUGACGCUGAUGUGCGAAAGCGUGGGGAUCAAACAGGAUUAGAUACCCUGGUAGUCCACGCCGUAAACGAUGAGUGCUAAGUGUUAGGGGGUUUCCGCCCCUUAGUGCUGCAGCUAACGCAUUAAGCACUCCGCCUGGGGAGUACGACCGCAAGGUUGAAACUCAAAGGAAUUGACGGGGACCCGCACAAG